rnacentral:rRNA from 1 species
GACGUAGGGCGCGAGCGUUAUCCGGAGUUACUGGGCGUAAAGGGCGUGUAGGCGGUUAGUUAAGUCUGGCGUGAAAGCUCUCGGCUAAACCGGGAGAGGUCGUUGGAUACUGGCAAACUAGAGGACGGUAGAGGCGUGUGGAAUUCCGGGUGUAGUGGUGAAAUGACGCAGAUAUCAGGAGGAACACCGGUGGCGAAGGCGGUUCUCUGGGCAUUACCUGACGCUGAGGAGCGAAAGUGUGGGGAGCGAACAGG